CAAGUCGAACGGAAACAGGCGGUAGCAAUACUGCGCUGUCGAGUGGCGCACGGGUGCGUAACACGUAUGCAACCUACCCUUAACUGGGGAAUAACCCUGUGAAAGCGGGGCUAAUACCCCAUAACAUUAUGGUAAGGCAUCUUACUAUUAUCAAAGAUUAUCGGUUAGGGAUGGGCAUGCGCCCCAUUAGUUAGUUGGUUAGGUAACGGCUAACCAAGACUGUGAUGGGUAGGGGUUCUGAGAGGAUUAUCCCCCACACUGGUACUGAGACACGGACCAGACUCCCACGGGAGGCAGCAGUAAGGAAUAUUGGGCAAUGGACGCAAGUCUGACCCAGCCAUGCCGCGUGCAGGAUGACGGCCUUAUGGGUUGUAAACUGCUUUUGUAUGGGAUUAAAGUGUAGUACGUGUACGACAUUGCAAGUACCAUACGAAUAAGCAUCGGCUAACUCCGUGCCAGCAGCCGCGGUAAUACGGAGGAUGCAAGCGUUAUCCGGAAUCAUUGGGUUUAAAGGGUGCGUAGGUUGAUUAUUAAGUCAGUGGUGAAAAUUCCGGGCUCAACCCGGGACUUGCCGUUGAAACUGAUAAUCUUGAGUGUAACUGAUGUGGGCGGAAUGUGUCAAGUAGCGGUGAAAUGCAUAGCAUAUGACACAGAACACUGAUAGCGAAAGGCAGCUCACAAAAAUUACAACUGACACUGAGGCACGAAAAGCGUGGGUAUCAAACAGGAUUAGAUACCUUGGUAGUCCACGCUGUAAACGAUGAUCACUAGCUGUUUGCGAUACAUUGUAAGUGGUUAAGCGAAAGCGAUAAGUGAUCCACCUGGGGAGUACGUCGGCAACGAUGAAACUCAAAGGAAUUGACGGGGGCCCGCACAAGCGGAGGAGCAUGUGGUUUAAUUCGAUGAUACGCGAGGAACCUUACCUGGGCUUGAACGUAUGGUGCAUGAGUGUGAAAGCACUCUUUCCUUCACAGGACUUCAUACGAGGUGCUGCAUGGUUGUCGUCAGCUCGUGCCG
rnacentral:rRNA from 1 species